UUUAAUUCAAAAUGGGUAAAUGGAUGAAAUUAUAAGUAAGGUAAUAUAGCUACUGUAACAAGCCCAGAUGAGUCUGCAAAGGUAACGGUAAAAUCGGCCCUUUAUCAAUCUAAAGAAGGCUUAUUUGGAAAACCAUAUGUAUUAAAAUACGUGGUAAAACGUAUUGUAUGGUGGAAGGGGACUUGUUUUGGGUCGACAUUAACAAUAAAGUAGCGGUCAAGAUACUAAGUAUGCCUGCGUCGAGUGCAGCAACAUAAAGAAGCUUCAGCACCUACAGCUUUAUUUACACUCUGAAAAGAAAUCUGCUUACUGCUGAAUGAGCUGAUAAAAUAAGUUUAAUUGCUCAUCAUUUAAAAUUAUUAGAUUCCUAGGAACUAGGUAGAUCUAGAACUAGAAACAUUUAAGAAGAGAAAGAAAGUUAGGAGUAACCAAAGAAAUUGUAUAACAAUUUAUUUUAGUUAUACAAUUUCUUUGGGAGUAAUAUCUAAUCUGUGGUACAAGAAGACGUCAUCAAUCACAGUUUAUUAUAACCAAGUUGCAUUAAAUUAUGUACUCAAGAAGUAAUAUAUCCCAUAAUAGAAGUAAUAAAAUAUAAUAUAAAAUAAUAAUCUUAAUGUCUAAAUCAUUUGCAUUAUUAGAUUUUAUUGUUUAACAAUAAAUUUAAAAUUAAUUGUUCACAAUAUUUUAGUAGUCACUUAGCGCCACCUAUUAUUUAAUAGCUAUACAUGUAUUCAUUUCUAUCAUUUGUAAGUACACACCAUAUGCUAAGAAUGCACUGUACAUUUUUUGCAUUUCUGCUUCAACUUUAAAGCUUACUGCUAAUUGAGAAAUUGAUUUAAUUUUUGUAUGGAUUCUUAUCAAAAGAUUAAUCGAUUAGGAGUGUUAUUUUAUAUUAUAUAUAAUUUGACGUAACAUUUUUAUCUACAAAUUUAUGAGUUAUUUAAGUUCCAAUUAAUUACUGAUUACGAGCCAAUAAGGCAAAAUGUAUCGAAUUUGUUUUUUAUUUAUUUUUAUGUUAAAAUCAUCACAUAGUUUAGAAUUAAAUGAUGAUUUUAAUCAAAACAUUUGGAAUGUUACAAUAAACUUGGCAGAUUCAAAGAUUUUCAUGGAUGAGACUGAAAUGAUUGGUUUUAAUCUUACAGGUCCUUUUAAUGACAAUAACUAUUUUUUAACAAUAAAAUCAACCAACC